AGCUUUGCACAGCGGCAAUAUCUUAGCCAAUGAGGUUUAUCUAAGGCAAGAUUAUUGCUAAUUGAAAACUUCCCCAUACCCCACCAUGACAACUUGAAAUACAGUCAGUGUUGGCAAUUUUUGGCAGUCUCUACGGGGA
ensembl:snRNA U4 U4 spliceosomal RNA